rnacentral:rRNA from 1 species
GACGAACCGUGCGAACGUUGUUCGGAAUCACUGGGCUUAAAGGGCGCGUAGGCGGGCUGUCAAGUCCGGGGUGAAAUCCUCCAGCUCAACUGGAGAAUGGCCUCGGAUACUGAUGGUCUCGAGGAGGAUAGGGGCACACGGAACUGUGGGUGGAGCGGUGAAAUGCGUUGAUAUCCAUAGGAACUCCGGUGGCGAAAGCGGUGUGCUGGAUCCUUUCUGACGCUGAUGCGCGAAAGCCAGGGGAGCAAACGGG